rnacentral:rRNA from 1 species
GACGAACGCUGGCGGCGUGCUUAACACAUGCAAGUCGAACGGAGAGGCCCUGCUUUUGUGGGGUGCUCGAGUGGCGAACGGGUGAGUAACACGUGAGUAACCUGCCCUUGGCUUUGGGAUAACUUCAGGAAACUGGGGCUAAUACCGGAUAGGAGCUCCUGCUGCAUGGUGGGGGUUGGAAAGUUUCGGCGGUUGGGGAUGGACUCGCGGCUUAUCAGCUUGUUGGUGGGGUAGUGGCUUACCAAGGCUUUGACGGGUAGCCGGCCUGAGAGGGUGACCGGCCACAUUGGGACUGAGAUACGGCCCAGACUCCUACGGGAGGCAGCAGUGGGAAAUAUUGCACAAUGGGCGGAAGCCUGAUGCAGCAACGCCGCGUGCGGGAUGACGGCCUUCGGGUUGUAAACCGCUUUCGCCUGUGACGAAGCGUGAGUGACGGUAAUGGGUAAAGAAGCACCGGCUAACUACGUG